rnacentral:rRNA from 1 species
UGGGGAAUAUUGGACAAUGGGCGAAAGCCUGAUCCAGCAAUGCCGCGUGAGUGAUGAAGGCCUUAGGGUUGUAAAGCUCUUUUACCAGGGAUGAUAAUGACAGUACCUGGAGAAUAAGCUCCGGCUAACUCCGUGCCAGCAGCCGCGGUAAUACGGAGGGAGCUAGCGUUGUUCGGAAUUACUGGGCGUAAAGCGCGCGUAGGCGGCGUAUCAAGUCAGGGGUGAAAUCCCGGGGCUCAACCCCGGAACUGCCCUUGAAACUAGUAUGCUAGAAUCCUGGAGAGGCGAGUGGAAUUCCGAGUGUAGAGGUGAAAUUCGUAGAUAUUCGGAAGAACACCAGUGGCGAAGGCGACUCGCUGGACAGGUAUUGACGCUGAGGUGCGAAAGCGUGGGGAGCAAACAGGAUUAGAUACCCCCGUAGUCC